CAUGUAGGCUGUAUGGCAAGUUGGAGGUGAAAUCCCACGGCUCAACCGUGGAACUGCCUUCAAAACUACCAAACUAGAGUGCGAGAGAGGAUAGCGGAAUUCCAGGUGUAGGAGUGAAAUCCGUAGAUAUCUGGAAGAACAUCAGUGGCGAAGGCGGCUAUCUGGCUCGUAACUGACGCUGAGAUGCGAAAGCGUGGGUAGCAAACA
rnacentral:rRNA from 1 species